rnacentral:rRNA from 1 species
UACGUAGGGGGCGAGCGUUAUCCGGAAUUACUGGGCGUAAAGCGCACGCAGGCGGUCUGCUAAGUUUGGAGUGACAGUUGGUGGCUUAACUGCCAAAGUGCUUCGAAAACUGACAGACUUGAGGGCUUCAGAGGGACACGGAAUUCCGGGUGGAGUGGUGAAAUGCGUAGAGAUCCGGAGGAACACCAAAGGCGAAGGCAGUGUCCUGGGGAGUACCUGACGCUCAGGUGCGAAAGCCAGGGGAGCGAACGGG